GGCAGGAAGGCGCACGGUGCGUGUUGGGUUCUGUUGGAUUACCCUCUCGAGCAUCAGCCCGAAGGUCCCCGUUCGACUCGGGGUCCUGCCA